rnacentral:rRNA from 1 species
GAUGAACGCUAGCUACAGGCUUAACACAUGCAAGUCGAGGGACGGGCGCACGGGUGAGUAACACGUAUCCCACCUGCCCUUUACUCGGGGAUAACCUUUCGAGAGAGAGAUUAAUACCCGAUAUAAAGGAUGGGGAUGCGUUCCAGUAGGGUGUUGGUGAGGUAACGGCCCACCAAGCCUUCGAUGGCUAGUGGUGCUGAUAGGAAGGCACACCAGAAUGGAACUGAGACACGGUCCAAACCCGGACGCGAGGCAGCAGUGAGGAAUACUGUUGAAUGGGCGCUAGCCUGAACCAGCCAAGUAUCGUGAAGGAUGAAGGCUUAGGGGUCGUAAACUUCUGUGAUAUAAGAAGCUGUACCAUAUGAAUAAGGAUCGGCUAACUCCGUGCCAGCAGCCGCGGUAAUAC